rnacentral:rRNA from 1 species
CCUACGGGAGGCAGCAGUGGGGAAUAUUGCACAAUGGGGGAAACCCUGAUGCAGCGACGCCGCGUGAGUGAAGAAGUAUUUCGGUACGUAAAGCUCUAUCAGCAGGGAAGAAAAUGACGGUACCUGACUAAGAAGCUCCGGCUAACUACGUGCCAGCAGCGGCGGUAAUACGUAGGGGGCAAGCGUUAUCCGGAUUUACUGGGUGUAAAGGGAGCGUAGGCGGCAGCGCAAGUCUGGAGUGAAAUCCCAUGGCUUAACCAUGGAACUGCUUUGGAAACUGUGCAGCUAGAGUGCAGGAGAGGUGAGCGGAAUUCCUAGUGUAGCGGUGAAAUGCGUAGAUAUUAGGAGGAACACCAGUGGCGAAGGCGGCUUACUGGACUGUAACUGACGUUGAGGCUCGAAAGCGUGGGGAGCAAACAGGAUUAGAUACCCGUGUAGUC